UGAUGACUCAAGGAUUCUGUUAACCAGC
rnacentral:piRNA from 1 species